rnacentral:lncRNA from 1 species
UUCCAAAUCGACGAAUCUGCAAAUUUACUCUUCACUAUAGCCACGUCAUCUUUUCUAAAAUAUUUAGCUUUGAUCACCUCUUGCCACAUUCCAUUCUGGGCCUCUAGUUUCCACCACCAUUUAGUUUGAAGACUAAUGUUCUACUUGUGAAGAUCUCUCACUCCCGAGCCCCCUUUUCUCUUGGAUCUGCAGAUAGUUAUCAUCUCUUCCAUUUAAUCUCUUCCAUUUAGUCACGGUAGGAAGACGCUUGCUUCCUCG